rnacentral:rRNA from 1 species
GGAGGGAAAUGCAAGGUGGCUUGGAGGCUCAUUACGGAGCCAGAAAGUAGUGGUGGCCUUGGCAUCCAUGACCUACCGCGCUUUGCGCACGCUCUGCGGCUAAGAUGGCUCUGGUGGAGCUUGCAACAGCCAGCAGGACCAUGGGUGGGCACCGGCACGCCCUACGACGACGGCGAUCGAGCCCUCUUCAUGGCAUCAACGACGGUCACCAUCGGCAAUGGUGACACGAUGACCUUUUGGCACUGCAGCUGGCUCGAGGGACGCCCGCUGCGCGAUGCCUACCCCUUGUUGUUCAACCACUCUACCAGGAAGAACAGAACGGUGUGGGUUGCACUGCAGGGGGGCAGGUCGAUCCUUGACCUAAGGCACAGCGACGUGGAGGGCAUCGUACAGUAG